rnacentral:rRNA from 1 species
GUGGGGAAUAUUGGACAAUGGGCGAAAGCCUGAUCCAGCCAUGCCGCGUGUGUGAAGAAGGUCUUCGGAUUGUAAAGCACUUUAAGUUGGGAGGAAGGGCAUUAACCUAAUACGUUAGUGUCUUGACGUUACCGACAGAAUAAGCACCGGCUAACUCUGUGCCAGCAGCCGCGGUAAUACAGAGGGUGCAAGCGUUAAUCGGAAUUACUGGGCGUAAAGCGCGCGUAGGUGGUUUGUUAAGUUGAAUGUGAAAUCCCCGGGCUCAACCUGGGAACUGCAUCCAAAACUGGCAAGCUAGAGUAUGGUAGAGGGUAGUGGAAUUUCCUGUGUAGCGGUGAAAUGCGUAGAUAUAGGAAGGAACACCAGUGGCGAAGGCGACUACCUGGACUGAUACUGACACUGAGGUGCGAAAGCGUGGGGAGCAAACAGGAUUAGAAACCCUAGUAGUCC